UUUCCGUAGGUGAACCUGCGGAAGGAUCAUUAUCGAAAUACUUAUUUAGCGUUCCGUGCUAUCCCAUUGUUUUAUUUACCCUGUUGCUUCCACUGGAUGAGUUUCCAUACCUUGUGUUUGAGAAACUUUGGCUUGUGUAAGAUUCAUUCACGGCCAGCCAGUGAGAAGACCAUUUACAAAACCCUGUUAAGAACCAAUUGUCUGAAUAUUUUACUCCAAUGAAAUAAAACUUUCAACAACGGAUCUCUAGGCUCUUGCAGCGAUGAAGAACGCAGC
rnacentral:misc_RNA from 1 species